GGCUCAGAGUUCGGUGAGUUCUUGGUGCACAGAGCUCCAAGAACCACUCCAGCACGCUGCCUGCCACGGAGCAGGGUUUCAGCAAGUAUUUGCUGGAUGAGUGAGAGGCUAAGUGGAUGAAUAAAGAUCUAAGUCAGAGUCAAGCUAGGAAUAGUCUGCACCUCAAGGCUCUACCAGCACUAGGAAAGGGUCUACCUAGAGACUGCAGAAGAGAUGAGCCUACAUGAAGAUAUUCAAGGAGACCCAGGGAAGGUGUCUAAGAGGCUGUGAAAGCAUGAAGUCACACGGGCCAUGGCUGUCAGCAGAGGAGAAUCGGAAUCUAUGUCUUCUCUGCUUGAAUUUUGGCUGGGCCUGUGGCUGCUUUGAGGAAAUGACCUGUGCCAGAACAGGCACCUUCUGCCUCUUUCCUCUUGGAAUACUUUUCCUGGGGUGCUCCUUGGAAUCCAGCCAUGAUGCAUUGGAAAGCCCAGCUGCAGAGCUAGGCCACACGUAGUCCCUCCAGUUGCAGUCUCUGCUCCACUCUCUGCUGCUGCCAUGUGAGCAAGCCACCUUGGAUGUCUGGGCCUCCUGAGGACUGCAUCCCUGGCCGACAUCAUGUGGAACAGAAGAACCACUAUGCUGAACCCAGGCAACCAACACAGUCAUGAGAUAAUAAGAAUUAUUUGUCAUCACUAAGUGUUGGGUGAUUUGUUAUAAGCGAUGGAAAACUGAAACAGUUUGUUUGUAUGCUCUGCCAGACUGUAAACUUCUGGAGGACAGGCGCCAGUGUCUUGGUCAUAUUUAUGUGCCCAGCAUCUAGUGCAGUGGUCUAGCUCAGUGGUUAAGAACUCAGAAUCUGUUUUCAAAGGGCCUGGAGUUGAUCUCUACUCCACACCAGUUGUGUGGCCAUAUCAGUCAGGGUUCAGUUAGGGCAGAAGAGCUACUAAGAGUAUUAUAAGCCUAAGAGACUUAUUCCAGGAAUUGGACCUUAAGAAAAUAUGGCAAGAGCUGGGAGGAUGGAGGUCUAGAAGGGGAGUCAGAGGUUCAGAGUGUCUACUCUGUCUAUCUGAAGUGGACAAGUCAGAGCUUUCUGGGAAAUGAUGAUACCAACAUGCCCAGCCCCUAGAGUAGAUGGAUGCACAGUAAGGUCCAGUGAAAACUGCCCCCUGCCUAUGCCUACCUACUGCCUCUGCGGGCUUACUAUCAAUCUUCCAGUUGGGAGUGGGGGCCUCUAUUGUUCUGGAGGAUCAGCAGUCAGAGUGACAAGCUAGAUAUGAAACAGAAGAGAAUGAGGACAAGCUGUGACCUGCUAGAUGCCUUUGCAUCCAUCCAACACCAUAUGCAACCAAGGUAACCUUCAGAGAAUAAUGGCCACUGCUCCACUUUCACCUUCCAAAUCUCCUAUAACCCAUUGCCGGAUGGGGAAGGGAAUCUGGGAAGUGUAGCUCUCAUCUAAACUGGACUGACAGCACCAUGCAGCUUUUGGCCUGUAGCAAAUUACUUUUCUCUGAGCCUUGGUUCCUCAUCAGUAAAGUAAAGAUAGUCAUACUUACCAAACUCAGAUUACUGGAAAUAUUCAGUGAGAAAUACAUGCAUAGUUGUCAUAUUCUAAAUUCUCAAUGCGUGCUAGCUGUGUUCUUUGUAUUAGAAGAAGCCCAUUCAUGUUUGUUGGAUGAAUGAAUUGAAACUCUUUGGCAAGGCAUUAAAGGGGGCAGGAAAUAAGUCAUGCCUUAGAAGUUCAGGGCCAAGCUGGAAGACUGUGGACCUCUUGUGGGACACUUGAGGCCAGAAUAAAUCUAGAAAAUGUCUGUUAGACAUCAUCUGCGCCAACUGGCAUUAAGAAUCAAGAAACCAGUACUGUGAGUUCAGUCCCAUUUCAUAUCAAUCCAUCAAUUCAGCUCUUCCAAGCCCAUAUAAAGGCUUCCCUGGAGACCAGGAUAUCCAAGUAUCGAAAUCCUGAGUCCUAGCUCAACUCUGCCACUAUUUACUCUAUAAACUUAUAAACUUAGGUAAACCUUCAUCUGCUGUUGGG
rnacentral:lncRNA from 1 species